rnacentral:rRNA from 1 species
AUUGAACGCUGGCGGCAGGCCUAACACAUGCAAGUCGAGCGGAUGAAGGGAGCUUGCUCCUGGAUUCAGCGGCGGACGGGUGAGUAAUGCCUAGGAAUCUGCCUGGUAGUGGGGGAUAACGUCCGGAAACGGGCGCUAAUACCGCAUACGUCCUGAGGGAGAAAGUAGGGGAUCUUCGGACCUCACGCUAUCAGAUGAGCCUAGGUCGGAUUAGCUAAUUGGUGGGGUAAAGGCCUACCAAGGCGACGAUCCGUAACUGGUCUGAGAGGAUGAUCAGUCACACUGGAACUGAGACACGGUCCAGACUCCUACGGGAGGCAGCAGUGGGGAAUAUUGGACAAUGGGCGAAAGCCUGAUCCAGCCAUGCCGCGUGUGUGAAGAAGGUCUUCGGAUUGUAAAGCACUUUAAGUUGGGAGGAAGGGCAGUAAGUUAAUACCUUGCUGUUUUGACGUUACCAACAGAAUAAGCACCGGCUAACUUCGUG